GUAGGUGGCAAGCGUUGUCCGGAAUUAUUGGGCGUAAAGCGCGCGCAGGCGGUUUUUUAAGUCUGAUGUGAAAGCCCACGGCUCAACCGUGGAGGGUCAUUGGAAACUGGAGAACUUGAGUACAGAAGAGGAAAGCGGAAUUCCACGUGUAGCGGUGAAAUGCGUAGAGAUGUGGAGGAACACCAGUGGCGAAGGCGGCUUUCUGGUCUGUAACUGACGCUGAGGCGCGAAAGCGUGGGGAGCAAACAGGGAUUAGAUACCCUGGUAGUCCACGCCGUAAACGAUGAGUGCUAAGUGUUAGGGGGGUUUCCGCCCCCGUUAGUGCUGCAGCUAACGCAUUAAGCACUCCGCUGGGGAUACGGCCGCAAGGCUG
rnacentral:rRNA from 1 species